GCGUGUGUAGCUCAGUGGCAGAGCAGCGGUUUCGUUAACAGCAGGUCGAGGGUUCGACUCCCUUCACCGGCUCCA
rnacentral:tRNA from 1 species